GUACCACUCCUCCACGGGCCGUGAAGGGCCUGCAGUAUAUACAAAUAAAAAAAAAAAACAUCCCAUACUCGUUUCGCUAAUGCGGCAUUAAAACUUCAAACAAACUAACUUCUUGCUCGGAACUUGCGCGACGGCGCAACCACGCGGAGGAACACGGCCAGGCGCACGCAGGCCCGAUUUCUGUGGUGAUUUCGGAUGUGCGAGCAGCCGAGGCUUCGUCUCGGGUUUCAUUAUUUCCCGUGUUUUUCGCUGCUGCAAGGUCCAACCGCGCAGCGUUGGGGAUUCUCCGACUCCUGUCAAAGGAUUGCACGAUUGUGCACGGACACACCCCAACACAGAGCUCAAUGGACAUGGACAAAGAAGACUUACUGCCAUGCAACUACUGUCGGGGUGAAUUACACGGACGAGGAGAGUGAGCCGGUGCAACAACGUCCUGUGGUGCAACCAUGCGCUCCUGAGAGAAUGCCUGAACAGACAGACGCUGACUCAUGGUACUGGCUGCAAUC